ACACGCAUGACACACUGCAUAUCAAUAAGCGGAGGAAAAGGAAACUAACUAAGGAUUCCCUCAGUAACGGCGAGUGAAGCGGGAAGAGCUCAAAUUUGAAAUCUUCAAGGUUCUACCUUGACGAAUUGUAGUUUAAAGAAGUGUUUUCUGUUGGAGUUUUGGUAAAAGUUCUUUGGAAUAGGACAUCAUAGAGGGUGAGAAUCCCGUAUUUGACCAGUUACUUUCCAAGCUGUGUGAUACACUUUCAAAGAGUCGGAUUGUUUGGGAAUGCAGUCCAAAAUGGGUGGUAAAUUUCAUCUAAAGCUAAAUACUGGCGAGAGACCGAUAGCGAACAAGUACCGUGAGGGAAAGAUGAAGAGAACUUUGAAAAGAGAGUUAAACAGUACGUGAAAUUGUCAAAAGGGAAGCGUUUGACACCAGUGUUGUUUUCUCGAAAAUCAAUUAAAAAGAGUUGGAUUUUGUAUUGUUAAGACCUUAUCAGCUUACUGUACCUUUUUCUUGCUCUUUUUAAUGCACUUUUCGUUUAACAAGUCAACAUCAAUUUCUUUUGUUGUAAAAGGGUCAUUGGAAGGUGGCUUCCACUUCGGUGAAAGUGUUUAUAGCCUUUGGCUUCUACAAUCGGAGAGAUUGAGGUCUGCAGCGUAGAUCCUUCGGGGUUAGAUACGUAGAUGCUAAGUUAUAGUUUUUUAUAGACAACUUGUUGACUAUGAUUAAUCAUGUAGCUUCUCGUUUACGCUAUUUUACCUACGCUUAGGAUGUUGAGCGCAUGUCUCUCUCU
rnacentral:rRNA from 1 species